ensembl:antisense
CCUGCCGAUUAUUAUAUGACCUAAUCUAAAGGGUUACUGUUCAUGUUAGUAAACUCAUUAACUAAUGGACCAUUAUUUUAACGUGUUACCAAAAAAAGUUCAAGGAGAUGUGCACGCGUGAAAGAAACCCUUUAUCAUCGUACUCUUUAAUAGGGUCUCAAAAAUGCCAAAGAUGCUUCAUAAUGAACAAGAGACAAUAACAAAAGAAACGUUUAAAAAACAAACUCCAGAGCACCAAGAGGAAAUCCACGCCAACACGGGGAGAACAUGCAAACUCCACACAGAAACGCCAACUGACACAGCUGGGACUCGAAACAGCGACCUUCUUGCUGUGAGACUACAGUGCUAACCACUGAGCCACCGUGGAUGUAACUAAUCUAGAUUAAUUUGUGUCCAGCACUAAUAAAUCUUUGCCCGCCUCAGUGAAUAAACUUGACAGAAAAGAGUCAAACUAGUCAAGAAAAGUGAAGUUGUUUUAUUGGAGUCAUGCACAUCACACGUGUUAGUGCAAAUAUACCCUUUAUCUGUAUCCAAGACAUUAAAUCACUUAUAUCCUGUCUUUUUAAAAUAGAUUUCUGACAAUGAACUACCGUUGAUGUUCAAAACAAGUCAUUCUGAGCUCUAAAACAAUACAGACCAAUAUAAAUAUAUAGGUACAGGCAGUGUGCAGUACUGUACUGUCUUAACUGGAAGUUUCUGACCAAUUUAAAGAUGUCUUAGAAAACAAGCCUUGUCCAUGAGCAAGUGACAUAUCUCUAUAAACCAAUAGCGUUUAGCUGCGAGUCUAGCUUCGCCUUUUGGUACCCUUUUGCCGGGCCAGGUACCCUUUGCAACGGGUAUCCAAAAAGUGGUACGGUGCGGUUCGCUUUUAGGUACCCUUUGACAGUGGAAACGGCCAUAAAAAGCUACCAAACUGUACCGUACCACUGAGUGGAAAUAGGUCAUUAGUUCCCAAACUCUUGAGGCAGCUAGAAGAAAAAAAACUUGGUCUGCAAAACAUGCAAUCUUAACGUGGAAAUAAAAGUCCUGAAUUAAAAAACGUGUUUGCAAGGCCAAAAAGAUGUUAAAAAUUCAUGUAGAAAACCAAACUAACAAGGAGAACUCGUAUUAAAUAAAAAAUUACGUAUUAAUCAAGUGUCUCCAGGAGCAAAUUAGAUGUGACCAACAUCAUUUAUAACCAAUUUUUAUUCUUUUUUGUGACUAUAACAUAUAUUUACACACAAACAUUCAUACAUACAUAUUUACAACAGCCUAAGCAAUCUUCUAACGUGAAGGACGAUUUCUCCAAAAAAAAACACCUAAAAAUAAAGAAUAAAAAGUCCAUCAUGCUGUUUAACGAAAGCAUUAUGAACAAAAUGCAGGAGAUCAUUUUAAAGCUAUCCUUUCUGUGCUACAAGCUUUGCUUUGUUUUGCAUUCGUGGUUAAAUCCAUGUUGAAGCGUUCAAUGGAUUGUUGAUGUAUGUCUUUCCAGUAAAGUGAUACAAAAAAAAAAUAAUAGAAAGAGAUGCAAAAACAAGUCCUCGACACGUUGAACCAGACGAGUUAGGCUUUUUUUUAUGCUCCACGUCUGUUUAUUUACAGCACAGCAGACAAAUGUGAACCACACACCAAACACAUCAUCGGUUAAUUCAUCUUCCUCCAAAAGUCUCUCAAAGCAGCUCGCACAACAUCCACAUUUCAACAAAUACACGCCGUUCACCAACAAAAAUAACUUUCCUGUGCUUCCCAUUCAUUUUUAAAGCAUCCGAUUUCCAAAACCUAUGUUACAGAUAAGGCAGCAAAAUCCCAGAGCCUUUUUUUUUUUUUUUGAGGAGGUACUGUCGGAGAUUUAGUACAGAAACAAACAACAGGAGCUGUGAACUCAAAGUGCUCCUUUUUAGUCCAGACAGCAGGACAGUGUGUUGGUAAAAAGCUACGUUUGUGUGUGUGUGUGUGUGUGUGUGGCGUUGUUUUGGGCAGGGCGACACCGGGCCACGGAGCGCCCGAUCUUGACCGGCUCAUCCAGGUAAACAUGGCGUUCCUGAAACGGGUGUGAAUUCGGGCGGCAGGAGAACACGGCCAGCGCUGAAGGCAUUGAGGAUGGCUUGGGAGUGUUACUCCAACCAGAGACGAAAGACAGGGUUUCUUGAUCCAGACUGACCUGUUGCUCCAAUUCUUCCUAAUGAAUGACCAGCAGACCAACGCACAUAGUAAUACGAAAAAAAUUCCAACUCUACAAAAAGACCCCUGCUAAACCGACUACAUAACGUCAACAAGACUGUAUAUUUAUACACUAUGUAGAUGACUUCUUGCCCCCUUGCGAGACCCCCAUGUUGCCGAACCAAACCCAAUACAGCUGCCCAAUUCCAUACAAAUCUGUGUGUCCAGAUGACAGUCCACAAUUCGAGCUGUUAUACUUCGUUCCCAACACAAUUCAUCCUCGUCCCCCUUUACAAGCAUAGGCCUGGCCAGUAAACAACCCAGCAACUAGUACACCAAUAACCUGUUGAAUUGGUCAACCUUUACUCAUAAAAAAAGAAGUAUUACUGUCACGUUGACAUGCGUGUCUAUAUUUAGAGGGAAUGACUGCUGGGCACGAAAUGCACUUGUGAAAAUGCUAAACCGUAAUGAAGAUUAAUAAUGAUGUGAGUGGGUUUGGCUGAAGUAUGCAGAACAGACCAUCAAGCCACCACUCCCCAAGACAGAGUAAUUAAUAUUGAAAAAUACCUCAAAUGCCUACUUAAACAGACUUCAAAUGCAAGUAUUUAGCUGUCAGGAUUGUAUACAAGAGCACAGCUCGCGCGGAGGGUGUUUUCUUGCGCACGAGAGCGUUAGCUGGCUAACUUCAUAUUAGCUCGUUAGCUUCGCUGAGGUAACACUGGCCUUCUACUUUCACCUUAUCGAGCCGUCCAAGCUGGAAGAGACUUUAUAAAUAACCCCGAGCUGAUUUAUCCCCGAAAACCAGCUAUUUGUUCGGUCUGUGGAACUUUCAUGCGCGGAGAAUUUGCGUAAAUCCAGUAUUAGCUCGCGAGCUCGGUAACUAGCUUAGCCUGCUGAGAGACACAAAAAUUUCCCCAGAAAAGAAAGUCAUACACGAAUAAAGUCCAUGACACGGUCCCGUGUUAAGCCAUGGAGGUCUCCGCUUUCCGGAACGCUGAAAUCGGGAGGAAAAUCGUUGUGUGCGACGGGAUAAUUGGAAGUAAGUCGUCCACUUGAAGAGAUAUACACACACAUACACACCGGCCACAAACCGCCGCGGGGCUCGCGCACCACCG